UGGGCAACCUGCCCCUCUCUCUGGGAUAACCCCGGGAAACCGGAGCUAAUACCGGAUACUCCGGCUGGAUCGCAUGGUCCGGCCGGGAAAGGUCCGCCGGAGAGGGAUGGGCCCGCGGCCUAUCAGCUUGUUGGUGGGGUCAUGGCUCACCAAGGCGACGACGGGUAGCUGGUCUGAGAGGACGACCAGCCACACUGGAACUGAGAUACGGCCCAGACUCCUACGGGAGCA
rnacentral:rRNA from 1 species